CGGCAUUGUGUCUCUUUCUGCAAAGUCGGGACAGUGUGAGGAUAAGAGCCAACAUUGAAGGAACACUUAUUAUGGAUUAUCUCACCUGAUCUUCCGGGAAA
rnacentral:lncRNA from 1 species